CAUCUGAGUCUUUGGCGGAAAGUAGCCCGUUACCAUUUCCCUUGGGUGGCUCAGAGUCACAGCAUUGUGGAAUGUUAGAACUGGAAGGAAAUUGACAGAGGAUGUUGCCAAGCCCCUCAGGGUUAUGGGCAGGGAAAUUCAGACCCAGAAAGGUUAAACCGCUCUCCCAAGGUUACACAGAGGUACGUAGCAGAGCCUCAGUGCCCGUCACUUGCCUGCGUUUAGGCUUCCAUUACCCAAAAUCGAAGAUGAAGACACACUGAUUGCCCAGAGCUUGGUUGUUUUGGCCACUCGGUGACGUUUACUGUCUCGUCCUAUGAGCGUCGUCUUUUAAAAUCUGUGCCGGAAGAGGGUAGGUGCGUUGCGGGGAACCAUGACGUCUUUCUUUCGCAGGAGACCGAGGACGGGGAGGUGGUGAUUCCAAGGAUCAUUCCUCCUGACACUGGGUUCCGGGAAGAAAGCUGGAUGUGGACACUGUCUAGGCGGGUGACACCUGCGACUAUGAUUUCCGGUCCAUUCCGAGGGCCUCUGGGCUUGGCAUGAAGAACAGUCUACGAAGGUGGGACUAUCCAGGACUGCCGAGGAGGGCGGCUUUAGAAUGAACGUGGAGGGGGGUGGGAAAUCUCAUCCCCAUGGAAACAGCAAUGGUGGCCUUGGAUCGUGAGCAGAGCCCAGAAUAAAUUAGAAAACAAGAACCCCGUUCCCUCCAAUAUCCGUUUAUUAGAAGGACUCGGUGACGAAGGAAGAUUGGAGGCAAUGCUGCAUUUGAGGAAGCUGGUAUGAUGGAGUGGGUGGUUUCGAGAGGGUAAUCCAGGCAGACUUCCUGGAAGAGCUCGUGCAGGGGCACCCGAGUCACAGGUGGAAGAUGAGAUCGGGUCCGGGCACGGCUGGAGAUCAUUGAUCCCACCUUGGGGUGGAAGAGUCUGGAUUCCCAUGACGAGUGUCCGGGUUGGCAGAAGAACCAACAAGGGAAAGAGAGAGAAUCUCAAGUAGGCUCCUUCACAAGGAGCCCAACACAGGGCUCGAUCCCACGACCCUGGGAUCAUGACCUGGGCUGAAAUCACGAGACGGACGCUCAAGCCACUGAGCCACCCAGAUGCCCCAAAGAAAGGCCCUUAAAGAGCCUGGAAGAUAAAUUCUAUUCGGUGGAAAUGGAUACAUCUCUCCGGGCAUCCUGUCCUUCCUUCUGAAUUAAUGCAAGGGAGAAAAAUCACAAAUAGGAACUUGGAUGAUAAUGAAUGCAGAUUCGUGGACCUGGGAGAUCCAGAGACUACCCAGGACUACCCCAUCAUGUUCCAGAGAAAGCAGCUGAUUCGUACAGAGGACACGGGAUUUGCCCAAGGCCCUAUGAGCAGGUGCCUGGAUGGACCCCAGGCCUCUCCAUCCAGCUCU